GAUGAACGCUGGCGGCGUGCCUAAUACAUGCAAGUCGAGCGAAUGGAUUAAGAGCUUGCUCUUAUGAAGUUAGCGGCGGACGGGUGAGUAACACGUGGGUAACCUGCCCAUAAGACUGGGAUAACUCCGGGAAACCGGGGCUAAUACCGGAUAACAUUUUGAACCGCAUGGGUCGAAAUUGAAAGGCGGCUUCGGCUGUCACUUAUGGCUGGAUGCGCGUCGCAUUAGCUAGUUGGUGAGGUAACGGCUAACCAAGGCAACGAUGCGUAGCCGACCUGAGAGGGUGAUCGGCCACACUGGGACUGAGACACGGCCCAGACUCCUACGGGAGGCAGCAGUAGGGAAUCAUCCGCAAUGGACGAAAGUCUGACGGAGCAACGCCGCGUGAGUGAUGAAGGCUUUCGGGUCGUAAAACUCUGUUGUUAGGGAAGAACAAGUGCUAGUUGAAUAAGCUGACACCUUGACGGUACCUAACCAGAAAGCCACGGCUAACUACGUGCCAGCCGCCGCAGUAA
rnacentral:rRNA from 1 species